ACGCUCGACACCUACGGGAGCAGCAGUGGGGAAUAUUGGGCAAUGGGCGCAAGCCUGACCCAGCAACGCCGCGUGAAGGAAGAAGGCUUUCGGGUUGUAAACUUCUUUUAUUAAGGACGAAGCAAUGACGGUACUUAAUGAAUAAGCUCCGGCUAACUACGUGCCUGCAGCCGCGGUAAUCUGAGCGGGCUGGCAAGGC
rnacentral:rRNA from 1 species